rnacentral:rRNA from 1 species
GAUGAACGCUGGCGGCGUGCCUAACACAUGCAAGUCGAGCGAUUCUCUUCGGAGAAGAGCGGCGGACGGGUGAGUAACGCGUGGGUAACCUGCCCUGUACACACGGAUAACAUACCGAAAGGUAUGCUAAUACGAGAUAAUAUGCUUUUGUCGCAUGGUAGAAGUAUCAAAGCUCCGGCGGUACAGGAUGGACCCGCGUCUGAUUAGCUAGUUGGUAAGGUAACGGCUUACCAAGGCGACGAUCAGUAGCCGACCUGAGAGGGUGAUCGGCCACAUUUGAACUGAGACACGGUCCAAACUCCUACGGGAGGCAGCAGUGGGGAAUAUUGCACAAUGGGCGAAAGCCUGAUGCAGCAACGCCGCGUGAGCGAUGAAGGCCUUCGGGUCGUAAAGCUCUGUCCUCAGGGAAGAUAAUGACGGUACUUGAGGAGGAAGCCCCGGCUAACUACGUGCCAGCAGCCGCCGUAA